UCCGGUUGAUCCUGCCGGAGGCGACCGCUUUUGGAGUUCGAUUAAGCCAUGCGAGUCGAGAGCCUUAGGGGCUCGGCAUACUGCUCAGUAACACGUGGAUAACCUGCCCUAUUGUCUGGAAUAACCUCGGGAAACUGAGAACAAGGCCGGAUAGCCCACAAUGCCUGGAACGGUUUGUGGGUGAAGAUAGGAUGGGUCUGCGGAGUAUCAGGUUGUAGGGGGUGUAAUGGACCUCCUAGCCAUCGACGCGUACGGGUGUUGGGAGACAUAGCCCGGAGAUGGAUUCUGAGACACGAAUCCAGACCCUACGGGGUGCAGCAGGCGCGAAAACUUCACACUGCAGGAAACUGUGAUGAGGGAACUCCAAGUGCUAUCACUAUGUGGUAGCUUUUCUUGACUAUUAAUCGGUCAUGGAAUAAGGGCUGGGAAAGACCGGUGCCAGCCGCCGCGGUAAUACCGGCAGCUCAAGUGGUCGUCGCUUUUAUUGGGCCUAAAACGUACCGUAGCCUGUUUGGUAAAUCUGUGGGUAAAUCAACCACCUUAACUGGUUGAAUUCUGCAGAGAAUGCCCGACUAUGGACCGGGAAAGGUGUGAGGUAACCCAGGGGUAGGGGUAAAAUACUGUUAUCCUUAGAGGACACCAUUGGGAAGGGCCACCUGAACGG
rnacentral:rRNA from 1 species